rnacentral:rRNA from 1 species
AGCGUACACGGUGGAUGCCCUGGCAGUCAGAGGCGAUGAAGGACGUGCUAAUCUGCGAUAAGCGUCGGUAAGGUGAUAUGAACCGUUAUAACCGGCGAUUUCCGAAUGGGGAAACCCAGUGUGAUUCGUCACACUAUCAUUAACUGAAUCCAUAGGUUAAUGAGGCGAACCGGGGGAACUGAAACAUCUAAGUACCCCGAGGAAAAGAAAUCAACCGAGAUUCCCCCAGUAGCGGCGAGCGAACGGGGAGCAGCCCAGAGCCUGAAUCAGUGUGUGUGUUAGUGGAAGCGUCUGGAAAGGCGCGCGAUACAGGGUGACAGCCCCGUACACAAAAAUGCACAUGCUGUGAGCUCGAUGAGUAGGGCGGGACACGUGGUAUCCUGUCUGAAUAUGGGGGGACCAUCCUCCAAGGCUAAAUACUCCUGACUGACCGAUAGUGAACCAGUACCGUGAGGGAAAGGCGAAAAGAACCCCGGCGAGGGGAGUGAAAAAGAACCUGAAACCGUGUACGUACAAGCAGUGGGAGCCUCUUUAUGGGGUGACUGCGUACCUUUUGUAUAAUGGGUCAGCGACUUAUAUUCUGUAGCAAGGUUAACCGAAUAGGGGAGCCGAAGGGAAACCGAGUCUUAACUGGGCGUUAAGUUGCAGGGUAUAGACCCGAAACCCGGUGAUCUAGCCAUGGGCAGGUUGAAGGUUGGGUAACACUAACUGGAGGACCGAACCGACUAAUGUUGAAAAAUUAGCGGAUGACUUGUGGCUGGGGGUGAAAGGCCAAUCAAACCGGGAGAUAGCUGGUUCUCCCCGAAAGCUAUUUAGGUAGCGCCUCGUGAAUUCAUCUCCGGGGGUAGAGCACUGUUUCGGCAAGGGGGUCAUCCCGACUUACCAACCCGAUGCAAACUGCGAAUACCGGAGAAUGUUAUCACGGGAGACACACGGCGGGUGCUAACGUCCGUCGUGAAGAGGGAAACAACCCAGACCGCCAGCUAAGGUCCCAAAGUCAUGGUUAAGUGGGAAACGAUGUGGGAAGGCCCAGACAGCCAGGAUGUUGGCUUAGAAGCAGCCAUCAUUUAAAGAAAGCGUAAUAGCUCACUGGUCGAGUCGGCCUGCGCGGAAGAUGUAACGGGGCUAAACCAUGCACCGAAGCUGCGGCAGCGACACUAUGUGUUGUUGGGUAGGGGAGCGUUCUGUAAGCCUGCGAAGGUGUACUGUGAGGUAUGCUGGAGGUAUCAGAAGUGCGAAUGCUGACAUAAGUAACGAUAAAGCGGGUGAAAAGCCCGCUCGCCGGAAGACCAAGGGUUCCUGUCCAACGUUAAUCGGGGCAGGGUGAGUCGACCCCUAAGGCGAGGCCGAAAGGCGUAGUCGAUGGGAAACAGGUUAAUAUUCCUGUACUUGGUGUUACUGCGAAGGGGGGACGGAGAAGGCUAUGUUGGCCGGGCGACGGUUGUCCCGGUUUAAGCGUGUAGGCUGGUUUUCCAGGCAAAUCCGGAAAAUCAAGGCUGAGGCGUGAUGACGAGGCACUACGGUGCUGAAGCAACAAAUGCCCUGCUUCCAGGAAAAGCCUCUAAGCAUCAGGUAACAUCAAAUCGUACCCCAAACCGACACAGGUGGUCAGGUAGAGAAUACCAAGGCGCUUGAGAGAACUCGGGUGAAGGAACUAGGCAAAAUGGUGCCGUAACUUCGGGAGAAGGCACGCUGAUAUGUAGGUGAAGCGACUUGCUCGUGGAGCUGAAAUCAGUCGAAGAUACCAGCUGGCUGCAACUGUUUAUUAAAAACACAGCACUGUGCAAACACGAAAGUGGACGUAUACGGUGUGACGCCUGCCCGGUGCCGGAAGGUUAAUUGAUGGGGUUAGCGGUAACGCGAAGCUCUUGAUCGAAGCCCCGGUAAACGGCGGCCGUAACUAUAACGGUCCUAAGGUAGCGAAAUUCCUUGUCGGGUAAGUUCCGACCUGCACGAAUGGCGUAAUGAUGGCCAGGCUGUCUCCACCCGAGACUCAGUGAAAUUGAACUCGCUGUGAAGAUGCAGUGUACCCGCGGCAAGACGGAAAGACCCCGUGAACCUUUACUAUAGCUUGACACUGAACAUUGAGCCUUGAUGUGUAGGAUAGGUGGGAGGCUUUGAAGUGUGGACGCCAGUCUGCAUGGAGCCGACCUUGAAAUACCACCCUUUAAUGUUUGAUGUUCUAACGUUGGCCCCUAAUCGGGGUUGCGGACAGUGUCUGGUGGGUAGUUUGACUGGGGCGGUCUCCUCCUAAAGAGUAACGGAGGAGCACGAAGGUUGGCUAAUCCUGGUCGGACAUCAGGAGGUUAGUGCAAUGGCAUAAGCCAGCUUGACUGCGAGCGUGACGGCGCGAGCAGGUGCGAAAGCAGGUCAUAGUGAUCCGGUGGUUCUGAAUGGAAGGGCCAUCGCUCAACGGAUAAAAGGUACUCCGGGGAUAACAGGCUGAUACCGCCCAAGAGUUCAUAUCGACGGCGGUGUUUGGCACCUCGAUGUCGGCUCAUCACAUCCUGGGGCUGAAGUAGGUCCCAAGGGUAUGGCUGUUCGCCAUUUAAAGUGGUACGCGAGCUGGGUUUAGAACGUCGUGAGACAGUUCGGUCCCUAUCUGCCGUGGGCGCUGGAGAACUGAGGGGGGCUGCUCCUAGUACGAGAGGACCGGAGUGGACGCAUCACUGGUGUUCGGGUUGUCAUGCCAAUGGCACUGCCCGGUAGCUAAAUGCGGAAGAGAUAAGUGCUGAAAGCAUCUAAGCACGAAACUUGCCCCGAGAUGAGUUCU